GUCCACACCUGAGUCACAUAUGCAAACAAAGGGUUUUUUAUUCGACUCAAACUUAUAGGUUCCUAUGAAAGCUCUGGAUCUGCUAUGAUGGUCAAGGAGUUGAGCUCUUUCUUCUAGUUGGAAAUGUUGAAGCUGCUUUGAGGAAAAUCUUAUGCUUCGAAACAGUACGGAUUUUCGAUCUUGCUUUUUUGUCUAUCUAUGCGGUGGUUGCUCUUAGAGUGUUACCCUUUUGUGUAUCGUAGAUCCGAGAAACUUUUGUGUCAAUGAUAUAAUACAUCAGUGUUCUUCUGUGGUACCGAUCUAGCCUUAUUUACUCACUCCCCCAUAACUUAUUUAAUAUCUAUGGCAUUGUAGGUUGAAUCUAUCUUGAAGCAUUAGCUUUGUCAUUCACCUGUGUAUUUUAUGUUGGUCUUUAGUUGAAUCCUUCACCUUUGUAUUUGUGUGGUGUCCUUGUUGUGUAUGAGCAUCCGACAAAAUAACAGAAGUUUUGUACUCGUAGUCUUAUGAUGAUGUGUUCCUCCUCUUC